rnacentral:misc_RNA from 1 species
GAAAUGCGAUACUUGGUGUGAAUUGCAGAAUCCCGUGAACCAUCGAGUCUUUGAACGCAAGUUGCGCCCGAAGCCAUUAGGCCGAGGGCACGCCUAGGCGGGGCUACCCGCUGAGUUUAA